rnacentral:rRNA from 1 species
GACGAACGCUGGCGGCGUGCUUAACACAUGCAAGUCGAACGGAAAGGCCCUGCUUUUGUGGGGUGCUCGAGUGGCGAACGGGUGAGUAACACGUGAGUAACCUGCCCUUGACUUUGGGAUAACUUCGGGAAACUGGGGCUAAUGCCGGAUAGGAGCUCCUGCUGCAUGGUGGGGGUUGGAAAGUUUCGGCGGUUGGGGAUGGACUCGCGGCUUAUCAGCUUGUUGGUGGGGUAGUGGCUUACCAAGGCUUUGACGGGUAGCCGGCCUGAGAGGGUGACCGGCCACAUUGGGACUGAGAUACGGCCCAGACUCCUACGGGAGGCAGCAGUGGGGAAUAUUGCACAAUGGGCGGAAGCCUGAUGCAGCAACGCCGCGUGCGGGAUGACGGCCUUCGGGUUGUAAACCGCUUUCGCCUGUGACGAAGCGUGAGUGACGGUAAUGGGUAAAGAAGCACCGGCUAACUACGUG